rnacentral:rRNA from 1 species
CAGUCGCCGCGGGAAUACGAAGGGUGCAAGCGUUAAUCGGAAUUACUGGGCGUAAAGCGUGCGCAGCCGGUUUGUUAAGACAGAUGUGAAAUCCCCGGGCUCAACCUGGGAACUGCAUUUGUGACUGGCAAGCUAGAGUCUGGCAGAGGGGGGUGGAAUUCCGCGUGUAGCAGUGAAAUGCGUAGAUAUGCGGAGGAACACCGAUGGCGAAGGCAGCCCCCUGGGCCAACACUGACGCUCAUGCACGAAAGCGUGGGGAGCAAACAGGAUUAGAUACCCCGGUAGUCCCUGUCUCUUAUAC